CCUACGGGAGGCUGCAGUGGGGAAUAUUGCACAAUGGGCGCAAGCCUGAUGCAGCCAUGCCGCGUGUGUGAAGAAGGCCUUCGGGUUGUAAAGCACUUUCUGCGGGGAGGAAGGCGGUGAGGUUAAUAACCUCAUCGGUUGACGUUACCCGCAGAAGAAGCACCGGCUAACUCCGUGCCAGCAGCCGCGGUAAUACGGAGGGUGCAAGCGUUAAUCGGAAUUACUGGGCGUAAAGCGCACGCAGGCGGUCUGUCAAGUCGGAUGUGAAAUCCCCGGGCUCAACCUGGGAACUGCAUUCGAAACUGGCAGGCUAGAGUCUUGUAGAGGGGGGUAGAAUUCCAGGUGUAGCGGUGAAAUGCGUAGAGAUCUGGAGGAAUACCGGUGGCGAAGGCGGCCCCCUGGACAAAGACUGACGCUCAGGUGCGAAAGCGUGGGGAGCAAACAGGAUUAGAUACCCGGGUAGUC
rnacentral:rRNA from 1 species